UACGUAGGGGGCAAGCGUUGUCCGGAAUUAUUGGGCGUAAAGCGCGUGUAGGCGGCCAGAUAAGUCCGCUGUGAAAUCUCGAGGCUCAACUUCGAGCUGUCGGUGGAAACUGUCUGGCUAGAGUCCGGAAGAGGAGAAUGGAAUUCCUGGUGUAGCGGUGAAAUGCGCAGAUAUCAGGAGGAACACCAGUGGUGCAGACGGCGCCCUGGGUCCGAACUGACGCUGAAGCACGAAAGCGUGGGGAGCGAACAGG
rnacentral:rRNA from 1 species